UUUUGUGCAUUUAGGAACACUUAUGAAGUAUCUCACGAACACCGCAUGCACAAUGAAUAUGGUUUUGUAUCGCUUCUUAGUGUUCUUUGUCAUUUCCAACCGCAUCCUCCAGAAGGUAAAACAAGUCCUGCUCAGCCUGUAGAAAGAAGAUUGGAAAGUGUUUGAUGGAAAUUACCAGAGCCUGCUGCCUCUCAGCUGCUGCCUGACUUUGAGUGUCAAGCAAUCAGAAAUACCAAGACGUGUGGCAUUUCUUCAGGGUGGUGAAGGGCAGUUUUGUUCACUUCUGACAGGUCAUGGUAGUUUACAGACAAGCAGCAGCAGAUGAAUUGUGAAGAGAUGGUGAGGAUUUUCAUGAUGCACUGAAGCAUUCAGAAUUUUAAAAGUCCUGGUGAACUCUAAGCUGCCCGAGUCAACGUGAGCUUUGUUACUGACCUCAGUGAACUCAGUACUUCACUGUCGUGUACGUUUGCUGCCUAUAAGGCAGGUAAAUACUUCUUUGCCUGUGUGAUCUCUUAGUAAGGCUUCACAGAGCAGAUAUGUUCUCUGUAGCAGAUAACUUGGGGAAUGUGUGUUGUCUUCAGUCAGGAACAUGCUUUUCCUGUUGCAAAGUCUCUGGAUGUAACAUCAAGAGCUGGAGGAGAGUGGAUUUGUGACCUUUGAAGAAGCUCCUCUAGAUUCUUUUUGUUUCUCUUUAGUGUGAUACAGCACUAUUUAAAUUCUUUUUUCUCUCUUGUUUUUGCCAUUUGCUCCUUUCUUUCAAGCACUUAGAACCUGUUUUUGCUCUUGCUGGUGGGUGUAAGUUUUCAUUUCAGCAUAUUACUGGAUUUUGUUGUUCUGUUGCAGAAGCCAAGCUGUCUCCCAGCAUCUCCUUUUUUCAUUAGGCUGUGGCAGGUCUUUCUUACACUGAUGAUCUUAUUAAAAACUUAGUUAUCUAUUAAUUUCCUCUUCACUAUCUUGGGGUAUUUGCCUGGACUUUGAAAUGAUCAGUCAUACCUUUUUCAUAUUGCCUUGCUUUUUUUGUUCUCUUGUGUCACUAUGGAAAGCCAUGGAGGUGGUACAGGACUCGCUUUUGGAAACUGAUGUUUCCAACCCAUUUAUUUGUAUGAUUUUUUUUUUCUAGAUGAUCUUUUCUGCUUUUCUAAAUUAAAACUGCUAACAUGAAG